rnacentral:rRNA from 1 species
AGAGCGAACGCUGGCGGCAGGCCUAACACAUGCAAGUCGAGCGCCCGUAGCAAUACGGGAGCGGCAGACGGGGUAGUAACACGUGGGAACGCGCCCUUCGGUUCGGAAUAACUCAGGGAAACUUGAGCUAAUACCGGAUACGCCCUUACGGGGAAAGAUUUAUUGCCGAAGGAACGGCCCGCGUCCGAUUAGCUAGUUGGUGAGGUAAUGGCUCACCAAGGCGACGAUCGGUAGCUGGUCUGAGAGGAUGAUCAGCCACACUGGGAUUGAGAACGGCCCAGACUCCUACGGGGGGCAGCAGUGAGGAAUUUUCGUCAAUGGGGGCAACCCUGAACGAGCAACGCCGCGUGCAGGAAGACACUUUUCGGAGCGUAAACUGCUUUUCUCGGGGACGAGUAAGGACGGUACCCGAGGAAUCAGCCCGGCUAACUACGUGCCAGCAGCCGC